CCUGAACCCUAACUAAUAGGAGCUUCUUCACCAUCUACACUCCAUAUUCGAUUCUUCAUCUGAUUCGAUUCCAUAUUGAAAUACACUGUUCGUCGUCUUCCAUUUUUCAUAUUUCGCAGAGGAGGGACCAUUUUCAUUCAAUCUUUUCCAUCUUCCAUUUUGGUUCUCAUUCAUCGAUCAAGGAGCAAGAUGGUACCGGAUGUAACAAUCCCACAGAAACCCACAAAGGCCCCUGUUCGUCUUGAUGCUCAGGGACGAGAAAUAGAUGAACAUGGAAAUGUCGUUAAUGUAACUAAACCAAGCAACCUUAGCACAUUGAAGGUCAACAUUAGCAAACAGAAGAAAGCUCGUGCGGCCCAAAAAGGAAUAAUUUCCUGUUUGUGGAGGAGGGAAAAUUGUCAAAAGAUGUUGAAACAAUAAAGAAAAACUCAAGGAUCCAAUUCCAGAAAUUGAGUGGUGGUUUUUGAUGGCAAAGCCAAGUUCAGCUGAUAGUAAGACUAGAAGCUCUGUGCAGAUCUUUAUAGUAGUUGGUUUAUGUUGUUUCUUCUAUAUAUUGGGUGCAUGGCAGAGAAGUGGUUUUGGAAAGGGAGAUAGUAUAGCCUUGGAGAUUACCAAGAAAGGUGCAGACUAUAAUAUAGGUUCAAAUUUAAGUUUUGAUGAGGUUGAUUCAAAACCUAAGGUAUUUGAACCUUGCACUGCUCGUUAUACUGAUUACACUCCCUGCCAAGAUCAACGGCGUGCCAUGAACUUUCCUAGAGGAAACAUGGUUUAACGAGAGAGGCACUGUCCUCGUGAGGAAGAGAAGUUACAUUGUUUGAUCCCAGCACCCAAAGGGUAUGUGACUCCAUUUCCAUGGCCUAAGAGCUGUGAUUAUGUUCUGUAUUCAAACACACCCUACAAGUGUCUUACAGUUGAGAAAGCUAUUCAGAACUGGAUCCAAUACGAGGGAAAUGUGUUUAGAUUCCCUAGUACAGGUUUGCAAUAUAUUUUUAUGUUCUUGCAAUUUAAUACUUCCAUUGCAGUGUUAGUUUGGAUAUGUUAAGACUGGAUAGUCUUUAUUUUUUAUUGAUCAAUUUCAAUUGGUUAUGUU